rnacentral:tRNA from 1 species
AGAGGUAUAGUAUACAUAUUAUAUUUGGUUUGGGGCCAAAAGAAAUUACGUAAGUAGUUACUUCUA